GUAGACUAGUGUGUGUGUGUGUGCAUGGACACCUGAGGUGUGUGUAGACUAGUGUGUGUGUGUGUGCAUGGACACCUGAGGUGUGUGUAGACUAGUGUGUGUGUGUGCAUGGACACCUGAGGUGUGUGUAGACUAGUGUGUGUGUGUGCAUGGACACCUGAGGUGUGUGUAGACUAGUGUGUGUGUGUGCAUGGACACCUGAGGUGUGUGGAGACUAGUGUGUGUGUGUGCAUGGACACCUGAGGUGUGUGUAGACUAGUGUGUGUGUGUGUAUCGACACCUGAGGUGUGUGUAGACUAGUGUGUGUGUGUGUGCAUCGACACCUGAGGUGUGUGUAGACUAGUGUAUGUGUGUGCAUGGACACCUGAGGUGUGUGUAGACUAGUGUGUGUGUGUACAUGGACACCUGAGGUGUGUGUAGACUAGUGUGUGUGUGUGCAUGGACACCUGAGGUGUGUGUAGACUAGUGUGUGUGUGUGCAUGGACACCUGAGGUGUGUGUAGACUAGUGUGUGUGUGUGCAUGGACACCUGAGGUGUGUGUAGACUAGUGUGUGUGUGUGCAUGGACACCUGAGGUGUGUGUAGACUAGUGUGUGUGUGUGCAUGGACACCUGAGGUG